CUGAAAUUAUAUGCUGUCUUGUUUAGUUGUUUCGUAUACACAAAGGCCGUCGGGUUUUAAAGCUAUUAUAAAAUUAAUAUUUAAAACAAACUUACCUUCGUUAACGUCGGCUCCCUUCUUUAAGCCGAUUCUUUCGCCCUUUCUCCCUGAGAAGGCUUUUGAAAUUUACAAAAUCUUGCAAAAAUGCGAGCAAAAAUGAAAUAUAUUUGCAAGAAAUUUAUCAACC